GCCUCCGUUAGGUAAGGUGGUAAGUGUUCUAGUCUGGUAGACCGGAGGUGGUGGGUUCGAUUCCCACCUGAGGCA
rnacentral:tRNA from 1 species